rnacentral:rRNA from 1 species
UUUCCCACGGGUGGCUGCAGUGGGGAAUCUUGCGCAAUGGGCGAAAGCCUGACGCAGCGAUGCCGCGUGCGGGAUGAAGGCCUUCGGGUUGUAAACCGCUUUCAGCAGGGACGAAAUUGACGGUACCUGCAGAAGAAGCCCCGGCCAACUACGUGCCAGCAGCCGCGGUAAUACGUAGGGGGCGAGCGUUGUCCGGAUUUAUUGGGCGUAAAGAGCUCGUAGGCGGUUCGAUAAGUCGGAUGUGAAAUCUCCACGCUCAACGUGGAGAGGCCAUUCGAUACUGUCGUGACUCGAGUCCGGUAGGGGAGUGUGGAAUUCCCGGUGUAGCGGUGAAAUGCGCAGAGAUCGGGAGGAACACCCGUAGCGAAGGCGGCACUCUGGGCCGGUACUGACGCUGAGGAGCGAAAGCGUGGGGAGCAAACAGGAUUAGAUACCCGUGUAGUC